GAUAGCUGUCCGCAUUCCUGUAGGGCAGGUCAAAGAUCAUUUAUAGAGUGGCUGCCUACUUCACGUUCCUGAGAGAAGUGUCAAGCACAUUAAAGUCUGCAGAAGGGGAAAUGUGGAGGAAAUAAACCCAACAAAAGAUCAAAGACGCACACACAGAAAAAAAGAUUGAGCAGGCCGAGGUAUGGCUUAGUGAAAUAAGAAAAGUUAAAGAGAACGAGGACCAUCUUAAAACAGUGGAGAGGAAAUCGUGGGAGGAGAUGUGCCAGGCAGGCAGGAGUGAUUCAGGCCUUAGCAUUUGUUUUCUUGGAAGUGAGCUCAGCCGCUUCAUUCCGUAGUCUCUUACGGAACCGCGUCAGGGAGCAUGAGCCUGCUGGAGAUGGACA